rnacentral:rRNA from 1 species
ACUCCUACGGGAGGCAGCAGUGGGGAAUAUUGCACAAUGGGCGCAAGCCUGAUGCAGCAACGCCGCGUGAGGGAUGAAGGCCUUCGGGUUGUAAACCUCUUUUAGCAGGGAAGAAGCGAAAGUGACGGUACCUGCAGAAGAAGCACCGGCUAACUCCGUGCCAGCAGCCGCGGUAAUACGGAGGGUGCAAGCGUUAAUCGGAAUUACUGGGCGUAAAGCGUGCGCAGGCGGUCUGUUAAGCGAGAUGUGAAAGCCCCGGGCUCAACCUGGGAACUGCAUUUCGAACUGGCAGACUAGAGUCUUGUAGAGGGGGUAGAAUUCCAGGUGUAGCGGUGAAAGUGCGUAGAGAUCUGAAGGAAUACCGGUGGCGAAGGCGGCCCCCUGGACAGAUACUGACACUCAGAUGCGAAGCCGU